UACGGAGGGUGCAAGCGUUAAUCGGAAUCACUGGGCGUAAAGCGCGCGUAGGCGGCUUGGUAAGUCAGGUGUGAAAGCCCCCGGCCCAACCGGGGAAUUGCACUUGAUACUGCUAGGCUAGAGUUCAGGAGAGGGUGGCGGAAUUCCAGGUGUAGGAGUGAAAUCCGUAGAUAUCUGGAGGAACACCGGUGGCGAAGGCGGCCACCUGGACUGACACUGACGCUGAGGUGCGAAAGCGUGGGUAGCAAACAGG
rnacentral:rRNA from 1 species